rnacentral:rRNA from 1 species
AACAGGUGGAGCCUGCGGUUUAAUCGGACUCAAACGCCGGGAAACUCACCAGAUAGGACAGCUGAAUGAUAGUCGGGCUGAAGACUCUACUUGACUAGCUGAGAGGAGGUGCAUGGCCGUCGUCAGUUCGUACUGUGAAGCAUCCUGUUAAGUCAGGCAACGAGCGAGACCCACGCCAACAGUUGCCAGCUCGUCCUCCGGGAUGGUGGGGACACUGUUGGGACCGCCUCUGCUAAAGAGGAGGAAGGAAUGGGCAACGGUAGGUCAGCAUGCCCCGAAUUAUCUGGGCUACACGCGGGCUACAAUGGGUGGGACAAUGGGUAUCGACACCGAAAGGUGAAGGCAAUCUCCUAAACCCAUCCGUAGUUCGGAUUGUGGGCUGCAGCUCGCCCACAUGAAGCUGGAAUCUGUAGUAAUCGUGUCUCAAAAUGGCACGGCGAAUAUGUCCCUGCUCCUU